GAUGAACGCUAGCGGCAGGCCUAAUACAUGCAAGUCGGACGGGAUUCAGGAGCUUGCCUCUGAUGAGAGUGGCGCACGGGUGCGUAACACGUAUGUAACCUACCUUUAUCAGGGGGAUAGCCUCUCGAAAGAGAGAUUAAGCCCGCAUAAAAUCACAGCACAGCAUUGUGUAAUGAUCAAAUAUUUAUAGGAUAAAGAUGGGCAUGCGGAACAUUAGCUAGAUGGCGGGGUAACGGCCCACCAUGGCGACGAUGUUUAGGGGAUCUGAGAGGAUGGCCCCCCACACUGGUACUGAGACACGGACCAGACUCCUACGGGAGGCAGCAGUAAGGAAUAUUGGUCAAUGGGCGGAAGCCUGAACCAGCCAUGCCGCGUGCAGGAAGACGGCCCUACGGGUUGUAAACUGCUUUUAUACGGGAAUAAACCCAGAUACGUGUAUCUGGCUGAAUGUACUGUAAGAAUAAGGAUCGGCUAACUCCGUG
rnacentral:rRNA from 1 species